rnacentral:tmRNA from 1 species
GGGGCUUUCAUGGUUUCGACAGGUUGGCGAACGUUACUCUAUGAUACAGGUCGAGAGCGAGUUUACUCUCGUAAAUCAAAGACUCAAAAAAAAAGUAAAUGCGAACAACAUUGUACCUUUUGCUCGUAAGCAAGCUCUAGUAGCUGCCUAAAAAUCUCUUACAGAUUCGAGCGUCUCCGGUUUGACUCCGUUAAGGACUAGAGACCAACCCCCAACGGAAGCUCUAGCAAGAGUUCUUUGAUUGGCUUGCUAGCUAAGAUUCAAUCAAAGCAUCCUACGUUCGGGAUAAGGAACGAUUCCCGCCUUGAGGGUCAGAAAGGCUAAACCUGUGAAUGAGUGGGGUACUAAUACCCAGUUUGGACAUGGGUUCGACUCCCAUAAGCUCCACUG